rnacentral:rRNA from 1 species
AUGGCCUCCGCCGGAAGCUUCGGGAGGCUCUCUCUUCUCCUCGCGCUCUCGCUGUGCUCCGCGCUCGCAUCCACGGUCCCCGGCGAGGCUCCGAGGAGGUUCUGGAUCGAGGGCGACGCCUUCUGGAAGGACGGGGCACGGUUCCAGAUCGUCGGCGGCGACGUGCACUACUUCCGCAUUGUCCCCGAGUACUGGAAAGAUCGCCUUUUAAGGGCUAAGGCACUGGGCCUGAACACAAUUCAAACAUAUGUUCCUUGGAAUUUGCACGAGCCGGAACCACAGAGCUGGGAAUUCAAGGGUUUCGCUGACAUUGAAUCGUAUCUAAGACUUGCUCAAGAAUUAGAAAUGCUCGUCAUGCUUCGUGUAGGUCCAUAUAUUUGUGGAGAAUGGGAUUUAGGGGGAUUUCCACCAUGGUUGCUCACCAUAGAACCAGCCCUUAAACUGCGAUCAUCAGACUCAACCUAUCUUUUCUUGGUAGAGAGAUGGUGGAGAGUCUUGCUCCCAAAAGUAGCACCACUGUUAUACGAGAAUGGAGGUCCAAUUAUCAUGGUGCAGAUUGAAAAUGAAUUUGGUUCAUUUGGAGAUGACAAGAAUUACCUUCAUUACCUUGUUCAGUUGGCCAGACGAUAUCUGGGGAAUGACAUUGUUCUGUAUACAACUGAUGGGGGCACUACUAAUACCUUAAAGAAUGGAGCAAUUCUUCAAGAUGAUGUCUUCGCUGCUGUUGAUUUUUCAACUGGUGAUGAUCCAUGGCCAAUAUUCAGAUUACAGAAGAAAUAUAACUUACCGGGAAAAUCAGCCCCUUUAAGUGCGGAAUUUUAUACCGGAUGGCUAACACACUGGGGUGAGAGUAUUGCCACAACAACUGCCAGCAGCACAGCUAAAGCUCUUAAAAGUAUUCUAUGCCGCAAUGGUUCUGCUGUACUCUAUAUGGCUCAUGGAGGGACAAAUUUUGGGUUUUACAAUGGAGCAAAUACUGGUCAAACUGAAUUCGAGUAUAAGGCAGACCUCACAUCUUAUGAUUAUGAUGCGCCAAUUAAGGAGCAUGGAGACGUGCAUAAUCCCAAAUACAAAGCAUUGAGAAGAGUAAUACAUGAAUGCACUGGCACACCUCUGCAUCCACUUCCUGCCGACAUUGAAAGAGCAAGUUAUGGGCUUGUGAAAUUACAAAAGGUUGCUUCUUUCUUUGACAUAUUUGAUAAGAUCUGUGAUCCACUGAAAGUGGCUGUUUCAGAACAGCCUCUGUCUAUGGAACUGACAGGCCAGAUGUUUGGGUUUCUACUGUAUGUGUCGGAAUACCAAGGAAAAGGUCCUUACAGCAUCCUAUCAAUUCCAAAGGUACAUGACAGAGCCCAGGUGUUUGUGUCAUGCUCACUUGAUGACGUCAGAAAUCAAAUAUAUGCUGGCGUUAUUGAAAGAUGGUCUAGUAAAACCCUACAGAUACCAACCUUAAACUGCUCUUCUAAUAUCCGCUUAUCUAUCCUGGUAGAAAAUAUGGGCCGUGUAAAUUAUGGGCCAUACAUUUUUGACCAGAAGGGGAUAUUAUCUACUGUUGAAAUAGAUGGUGUGACUCUCCAUCACUGGAAAAUGUACCCGUUAUCGUUCAAUUUACUGGACAACCUUUCGAAAUUCCAACCAAUCCAGCAGAUCACUGAUGCCAGAGCUAGCAAAGUGUCCAGUCAUGGUGGUUCACAAACUAAGCUACGUGAUUUGUCAUUCUAUCUAAAUGGCAAUUCAGAAGAGCCAGAAUUUUAUGAAGGCCAUUUCCACAUUGACUCCAAUAGCACGAUAAAGGAUACAUUCAUAUCAUUCCGUGGUUGGAACAAAGGGGUUGCUUUUGUGAACAACUUCAACAUCGGAAGGUUCUGGCCGGUAAUGGGACCGCAGUGCGCUCUUUAUGUUCCUGCUCCAAUCCUCAGAUCUGGAGACAACAUUGUUGUAAUCUUCGAACUGCAUGUUCCAAAUCCUGAGCGUACUAUCAACUUGGUAAAAGAUCCAGAUUUCACGUGCGGUCCAAAUCGAUGA